rnacentral:rRNA from 1 species
AGUGAACGCUGGCGGUAGGCCUAACACAUGCAAGUCGAACGAGUGGCGGACGGGUGAGGAGUACAUCGGAAUCUACUCUGGCGGAGGGGAUAACGUAGGGAAACUUACGCUAAUAGCGCAUAAGCUUGAAUGAGCCGUUGUCGGAUUAGCUAGUUGGCGGGGUAAAGGCCCAACAAGGCGACGAUCCGUAGCUGGUCUGAGAGGAAGAUCAGCCACACUGGAACUGAGCCACGGUCCAGACGCCUACGGUAGGCAGCGGUGGGGAAUAUUGGACAAUGGGCGCAAGCCUGAUCCAGCCAUACCGCGUGGGUGAAGAAGGCCUUCGGGUUGUAAAGCCCUUUUGUUGGGAAAGCGGUACCCAAAGAAUAAGCACCGGCUAACUUCGUGCCAGCAGCCGCGGUAAUUC